rnacentral:piRNA from 1 species
UGCCUGAAAGAAUCUGUCCUGCAAAGGA